rnacentral:rRNA from 1 species
GACGAACGCUGGCGGCGUGCCUAAUACAUGCAAGUCGAACGCACAGUUUAUACCGUAGCUUGCUCCACCAUAUACUGUGAGUUGCGAACGGGUGAGUAACGCGUAGGUAACCUGCCUGGUAGCGGGGGAUAACUAUUGGCCACGAUAGCUAAUACCGCAUGAUAUUAAUUAUUGCAUGCUAAUUGAUUGAAAGAUGCAAUUGCAUCACUACCAGCUGGACCUGCGGUGUAUUAGCUAGUAGGUGAGGUAACGGAUCAACUAGGCGACGAUACAUAGCCGACCUGAGAGGGUAAUCGGCCAACCUGGGACUGAGACACGGCCCAGACUCCUACGGGAGGCAGCAGUAGGGAAUCUUCGGCAAAGGACGAAAGUCUGACCGAGCAACGCCGCGUGAGUGAAGAAGGGUGUCGGAUCGUAAAGCUCUGUUGUAAGAGAAGAACGGGAGUGAGAGUGGAAAGUUCACACUGUGACGGUACCUGACCAGAAAGGGACGGCUAACUACGUG